UACGGAGGGUGCAAGCGUUAUCCGGAUUUACUGGGUUUAAAGGGUGUGUAGGCGGGCUUUUAAGUCAGUGGUGAAAUCUCCGGGCUCAACCCGGAAACUGCCAUUGAUACUAUUAGUCUUGAAUUUUGUUGAGGUAGGCGGAAUAAGUCAUGUAGCGGUGAAAUGCAUAGAUAUGACUUAGAACACCAAUUGCGAAGGCAGCUUGCUAAACAAACAUUGACGCUGAGGCACGAAAGCGUGGGGAGCAAACAGG
rnacentral:rRNA from 1 species